rnacentral:rRNA from 1 species
CAGCAGCCGCGGUAAUACCGGCGGCCCGAGUGGCGGCCACUAUUAUUGGGCUUAAAGCGUCCGUAGCCGGGUUGGUUAGUCUCCCGGGAAAUCUGGCCGCUUAACGGUCAGAAUUCCGGGAGAUACUGCCAGCCUAGGGACCGGGAGAGGCCGAGGGUAUUCCCGGAGUAGGGGUGAAAUCCUAUAAUCCCGGGAGGACCACCUGUGGCGAAGGCGCUCGGCUGGAACGGGUCCGACGGUGAGGGACGAAGGCCAGGGGAGCAAACCGGAUUAGAUACCCGGGUAGUCCUGGCUGUAAACGAUGCGUACUUUGUGUCGGACAAGCUAUGAGCUUGUCCGGUGCCGGAGGGAAACCGUUAAGUCCGCCGCCUGGGGAGUACGGCCGCAAGGCUGAAACUUAAAGGAAUUGGCGGG